rnacentral:rRNA from 1 species
AGAGUUUGAUCAUGGCUCAGGAUAAACGCUGGCGGCGCACAUAAGACAUGCAAGUCGAACGAACUUAACUCAUUCUUUUAGUUUGAGAGCGGUUAGUGGCGGACUGGUGAGUAACACGUAAGCAACCUGCCUAUUAGAGGGGAAUAACAGUGAGAAAUCAUUGCUAAUACCGCAUAUGCUAACAGUAUCGCAUGAUACAGUUAGGAAAGGAGUAAUCCGCUAAUAGAUGGGCUUGCGCCUGAUUAGCUAGUUGGUGGGGCAAUGGCCUACCAAGGCGACGAUCAGUAGCCGGACUGAGAGGUUGAACGGCCACAUUGGGACUGAGAUACGGCCCAGACUCCUACGGGAGGCAGCAGUCGGGAAUAUUGCGCAAUGGAGGAAACUCUGACGCAGUGACGCCGCGUAUAGGAAGAAGGUUUUCGGAUUGUAAACUAUUGUCGUUAGGGAAGAUACAAGACAGUACCUAAGGAGGAAGCCCCGGCUAACUAUGUGCCAGCAGCCGCGGUAAUACAUAGGGGGCAAGCGUUAUCCGGAAUUAUUGGGUGUAAAGGGUGCGUAGACGGAGGAGCAAGUUGGUUGUGAAAUCCCUCGGCUUAACUGAGGAACUGCAACCAAAACUACUUCCCUUGAGUAUCGGAGAGGAAAGUGGAAUUCCUAGUGUAGCGGUGAAAUGCGUAGAUAUUAGGAGGAACACCAGUGGCGAAGGCGACUUUCUGGACGAUAACUGACGUUGAGGCACGAAAGUGUGGGGAGCAAACAGGAUUAGAUACCCUGGUAGUCCACACCGUAAACGAUGGAUA